GAUGAACGCUGGCGGCGUGCUUAACACAUGCAAGUCGAGCGGUAAGGCCCUUUCGGGGUACACGAGCGGCGAACGGGUGAGUAACACGUGGGUGACCUGCCCUCAGCUCUGGGAUAAGCCUGGGAAACCGGGUCUAAUACUGGAUAUGACUCCAUGACGCAUGUUGUGGGGUGGAAAGCCUUGUGCGGCUGAGGAUGGGCCCGCGGCCUAUCAGCUUGGGUGGGUGAUGGCCUACCAAGCGACGACGGUAGCCGGCCUGAGAGGGCGACCGGCCACACUGGGACUGAGACACGGCCCAGACUCCUACGGGAGGCAGCAGUGGGGAAUCUUGCGCAAUGGGCGAAAGCCUGACGCAGCGACGCCGCGUGAGGGAUGACGGCCUGG
rnacentral:rRNA from 1 species